rnacentral:rRNA from 1 species
AUUGAACGCUGGCGGCAGGCCUAACACAUGCAAGUCGAGCGAGCGGCGGACGGGUGAGUAAUGUCUGGGGAUCUGCCCGAUAGAGGGGGAUAACUACUGGAAACGGUGGCUAAUACCGCAUACUAUCGGAUGUACCCAUAUGGGAUUAGCUAGUAGGUGGGGUAACGGCUCCCCUAGGCGACGAUCUCUAGCUGGUAUGAGAGGAUGAGCAGACACACUGGAAAUGAGACACGGCCCAUACUCAUACGGUAGGCAGCAGUGGGGAAUAUUGCACAAUGGGCGCAAGCCUGAUGCAGCCAUGCCGCGUGUAUGAAGAAGGCCUUAGGGUUGUAAAGUACGUUCAGCGGGGAGGCGUUACCCGCAGAAGAAGCACCGGCUAACUCCGUGCCAGCAGCCGCGGUAAUAC